rnacentral:lncRNA from 1 species
CUUAUUAUUUAUAAAAUAGUACCUACCUCGAAGAUGUAGAACGAGAUCAUUUCUGAGAGAGCCCAAAUGAGAUUGGCAGAUCGAAAAACACAGGCUGGACUUGAUGCUAUAAAAUCUUCGUUAUUGGGGCCGUUUUGAUGGAAAAUAAUAGAAGGCUGGAAAAAAUUUUAAAAAAAAUUCAAUUCAAGAUUUUCAAUUUACAGUUAGAAAAAAUAAAACCAUUUAAGUAUCUCAUUUAAGUAUAAUAGACUUUCAAGACAAAGACUAUACAAAUCAUUUAAGUAUCUCAUUCAUUUCUAUGGGACGAAUGACAAUUCAUAGAACAAGCAAAACAAAGAACAAAAUUAUUCUUCUGUUUUUUUCCUGGGUUUCCUCAGCCAUCAAUUUGUUGACAAAGAAAUUCCAUUCUUCCUUAAUUCCCCUCCUUCCCUGAUGCUCUUUCUCCAUUUGCAGAGAGAUGCAUUAAUUCCAACUUUAGCGUAUAAAAACUUGCCCUUUUUGAACAUUGAUUCGUGAAAGUAAAUAGAAGAAGAAAAAAAAUUACACCUAAGAACGCAAUUAGGAGCCCUGCAGCACCUUAUGAUGACACUUGCCAAAUUGAAGAGUACGCUAAACUGCGAACUCUGUGGGAGUUAUUCGAUUCCAUUACAGUGACAAUCUAAGCUCCAAGUCUAGUUCUUGAGAGUCACUGGAUUCCGAGUUCUGACUGCUCGACCCAUUCGAGCCACUACUCCUGUGUUUCUUGCUGCUUGAUGUGGUUGUCUGCUGCAUUUUAAAACCCACAUAUGUAAGCCACUAUGCAUCGCUCAGUUGAAUCUAUAGAGAACUGUUAGUAUGCGUCUUAAUCAUUCAAGUUAUUAUGAUGCAAUGAUUCUUGAAACGGUAUUACAAUUUCUUAAAACCGAGAGGUUUCUGUUUCGAAUACUAGUAACCCCAUCCGUACACAUUAUUUACCGUAACUGUAUAACCCUUAACUUUUCUUAUAGCUUUUAAUUGAGAAAGCUUGAUAAUGAAUAGUAUAAACGUCGAUUGAAACCCCUCUCAACAACUCAAGAAUCUAUCCCACAUAAGAGUUAUAUUAUUGUCUCAAGUAUCAUUGGUAAAACAAUUGCCUUUAUAAAGAACAUACCUAGCAUUUUCAACACCCUCAAUAAUUAGGGCUGUAUAUAAUUUUUCUACCUCAAAUAAUGUUUUUAGCCGAAACAGCUAGUGUGUUUGGAUAGUGAUUUUAUAAGGAAUAAUUCUUUCGACGGACACUAUAUUUAUUGAUGCUUCAGUUAUGCAAAACUUUGAGGUUAUUGUCGGGUUUCAGUUAGAGAAGAGCGGUGAUCAUGCUAUCAUAGAGAAAGAAAUGAUUACACAUUUCGGGCUUUCAAUUCAANN